AAACCAAAACUUAAGGGAAGAAGUUGACCAACUAAAAUCUCUUAUUAACAAAUUCACUGUAAGUUCAGAAAGAUUAAAAAUGAUGUUUGAAAAUCAACAUGCUGUUUUUGAUAAAUCCAAAUUUUGCUUGACUCCCUUGCUUAACAAUAAAUUCCUGGAAAAAAAAGAUUAUCAAUUCACCAAGCAAACCAUCAAAUAAGAUAACUUAUUUCAAAUAUGAAAAGAAUGGGCAUAAUAACUUUACCUAUAGUUCUAAUACACAUAAAUUAAAUGGUAAAGCUAUUAAUAUUAAACAAAUAUGGAUUCCAAAAGGAAUAAUUAUAGCUAACCUGCAAGAACCCAAAAGAGCUUGGGUUCCUAAGUUGAAAAUCUAAUUAUUUUUUUCAGCAGGUGUAUCUAGCUACCCAAGGUUCCAAUGAAAGAUGUUAUCCGGACAAUGAGUGCUCUAGACACGUGUUAAAGAUUGAAACUUAAAAUGUAAUUAAGAAGAGUGACUAAAAUGGAAGAAAUAAUGAAAUUAGUAAUUCUUGCAUCCUCUCAUACUGAAAUUGUUUUAUUAAUUGAUUAAAACAUAACUUGCAAGUAUUAAUCAUUUUUUUUGUGAUAUAAGUGAUAUUUUUGGUAUGAAAAGAAAAUAUAUCCAAAUCACUCCAUCUUUCUAUAUUAUGCUUUACUUAUAGAUGGAUAAUUUGGUAAAUCAAUUCUCCCAGAAUAACUCUAUGAAUUUUCUAUAUGCUUGAUUGAGAGUUCUUAUCCAUGGCAUUAUCUUUUAUUGAUCAUAGACAUAAAAAUAUGUACUUGAUAUGCUUUUAAAAAAAUAUGCAUUAUAAAUACUAAGAUCAAAGAUUUUUUUGGCAUAUAAAAUUAACUUAUGCUAGUAUGGACCUAAUUUCAAAAGACCUUAUCAUUGGUUUACUUAGAUUAUCUUCUACAAGGUCAAAGUUUGCUAUGCAUGAAACAAACAAGAAUCAAUUUCUAAAUCUAAAGAUGUUUCCAUCACUAAGUUUUCAAAAGCUUAUAUUGGAUUUGUUCUUGGCAAAUAAAAUUGAAGUAUUUUCUAUAUUUGCUAAAUCUUGUAAAAGUGUUUCAAAUGAAAAAGGUUUCCAAACUGUGAAGAUAAAGAGUAUCAUGGCACAGUGUUGAAAACCAAAUUUCUGAUAAGGUUUGCACAGAAAAUAAUAUUGAAUACAAUUGUUUCUGCACCAAGGACACCAUAAGUAAAAUAGGGUUAAUAGAAUCCUUGAAGAAAUGAAAAAGACAAUGUUGUAUGAUAGUCAUUUUUUUUAAAAAACUAUCAUCACUGCUUGUCAUACAUAUGGUUUCUAUUAAAUCUAUUUUUGAUGAAAACUCCUUUUGAUCUUCUGAAAAAUAGAAAACGAACUAUUGCAUAUCUUUCAUAUUUUUCAGUCGUACAUGUUAUGCUUGAUAUGUUCUUAUGAAAAUAAUGCCAAAUCUGAUAAAGAUACUCCUAUCUUUGGGUAUCAUUCAUCAAACAAUGCAUAUAGAAUAUUCAAUGAAAAGAUCCUAGUUGUAGAAAUAUCAAUUUAUUUUAUUCUUUAUGAGACUAAUGAUCUUUCAUCAAG
rnacentral:lncRNA from 1 species